GAGUAACACGUGGGUAACCUGCCUGUAAGACUGGGAUAACUCCGGGAAACCGGGGCUAAUACCGGAUGGUUGUCUGAACCGCAUGGUUCAGACAUAAAAGGUGGCUUCGGCUACCACUUACAGAUGGACCCGCGGCGCAUUAGCUAGUUGGUGAGGUAACGGCUCACCAAGGCGACGAUGCGUAGCCGACCUGAGAGGGUGAUCGGCCACACUGGGACUGAGACACGGCCCAGACUCCUACGGGAGGCAGCAGUAGGGAAUCUUCCGCAAUGGACGAAAGUCUGACGGAGCAACGCCGCGUGAGUGAUGAAGGUUUUCGGAUCGUAAAGCUCUGUUGUUAGGGAAGAACAAGUGCCGUUCAAAUAGGGCGGCACCUUGACGGUACCUAACCAGAAAGCCACGGCUAACUACGUGCCAGCAGCCGCGGUAAUACGUAGGUGGCAAGCGUUGUCCGGAAUUAUUGGGCGUAAAGGGCUCGCAGGCGGUUUCUUAAGUCUGAUGUGAAAGCCCCCGGCUCAACCGGGGAGGGUCAUUGGAAACUGGGGAACUUGAGUGCAGAAGAGGAGAGUGGAAUUCCACGUGUAGCGGUGAAAUGCGUAGAGAUGUGGAGGAACACCAGUGGCGAAGGCGACUCUCUGGUCUGUAACUGACGCUGAGGAGCGAAAGCGUGGGGAGCGAACAGGAUUAGAUACCCUGGUAGUCCA
rnacentral:rRNA from 1 species